UGGGCUAUGGUGUAAUGGUAGCACAAGACAUUUUGGUCGUCUUAGUUCUGGUUCGAAACCGGAUAGCCCAACCA
rnacentral:tRNA from 3 species